rnacentral:lncRNA from 1 species
GAGGAGGUGAGGUAGGGGCAGGGGCAGGGGCAGGGGCAGGGGCAGGGGGAGGGGGAGUGAGGGGCUGUGAGGGGCACUGUGAGGAGCUGUGAGGCAGCUCCCCGCCGCCCGGAAAGUCUGGUUUUGUUCUUCUUAUUAUUUUUUUUUAAGUAACAAGCCUUUUGGUGGCACGGAGCAUGGCCGCGGCUGGCAGGAGGCGGCUGCAGCGCUGUCUCCUUCCCUUGCGAUGCGCCUCAAAGGCGGGGGCCGGGCGGGAUCUGGCUUUGAAGUAUACAAGCCGUGGCUAUGCAUCACAGCGUACUUUAAAUUGUUUUGUUUCUUUGCUUGUCCCUGAAUAAAGAAGUCAAGGUGAGACCCUGUGAAGUUUGACCAAACUUCCAUUUAAACCAGCACAGUUGGAGUUUUUGCUGAUUGUUAGCAGUAGCUGUCCAGGAUAACCAGAGAUCAGAAACGUGCAUCUUUGUGGUGCCAGGUCAUCGUGCUGCUCUUCCAGGGUUAGCAGGUAGUCACGCUGAUGUAACAUCAAAGCCAAGAGGCAAAAUAAAAUAAAUCUGUUUCAAGAGACUACUAAGCA